ensembl:lncRNA
AUGUGGUUUCCAGGGGGAAGGAGUAUCAUCAUUCCGUGUGGAACUGCUAGGCAGGGUGUUAAGGACACAGAGGGAAGACCCCAGAAGAUGCUGCUUCUCCUGCUUGGGUGUCUCCUGCCCCCCACCAAUGGGAAAAGCUGCCUCCACUGCUGGCCAGACCUGCCCGCAUUGGUAGACUAUGAUCUGCAGAUCCUUUGGGGCUCCCCAGGGCCACCUGCAGAGCUCUCCCAAAGUGUCCACUCCCUAUUCCUGAAGAGAGAUCGUGUCCUCCUAGAACCCCGAUAUCUUGAUCAGGACCAUAUGGAGGAAGCAACAGCCAAAUUAUUCAAUCAUAUAGAUGAAACCAUCAAGAAGUUUCGAGAUGAUAAACCAUCACUUCUGGAAGAGAUUCGUAUCCAGAAACAGGUGUUUACUGACAGGCUGAAUAAGAUAUCUGAAGAGCUGAAGGAGAGGGACAGGACCGGGAGUACCGUCACGUGGGUUGUAAGCCUUGGCAUUAUUCUGCUUCUGGCAGCCAUAGCUGGAAGUGGAUGGUACAUUUUCUGGCGUGAGAAGAGAAAGGAAGCAGAAAAGGUGCUGGGAAAGGAGACCCCUGCCAGAAUGUAGGUCUCCCGAGGAGGGAAAGCUGCAAGUAGCAAGCAGGAACUCAGCAGUUCAGUGUUCUGAACAGAGAUCACCCAGUCGCUGCCAGGAAGCUAUCUCAUCUCUGAGUUCCAGUAACUGUCCUUUCCCUGACCCCCUCCAAUCUGGGGUGGUAGCAGUUAUGUGGCAAAGAGACCACACUCUGUCUUGUGGCUUCCCUAUACCCAGUCCUUGCAAAUACUUUUCAUUAAAACACCUUCCUCCCAUUCUGAUGGGCUGUAGCAUCUGCUUCCUGCCUGGAAAGACACAGCUGGCACCGAGAUCCUCCCGACACUGUCAUAAAGGGGCUCAUUCCCUCUUUUCACCCUCCCUCUGCUGGCCCACCACCCUUCCUGUCCUAAAGUGCCCCUCUCCUACUGCUCUGGCCCCAGCACUGGUAUCUCCACAGGCUCAGUCUGGCCUCAUCUACUUCCAGCACCAGAGAUGAAGACAGAGAUGGCUUGGGUCCCUAUGUCCAGGUAUUGAACAGAGACAGUGAGAGGCCAGCUCAUAGCUCAGGGACUGGCAGAGGAACAGACACCAGAAAACAGACUUCAAAUCACAUUAAUGGCAGACUUUUCUCCAUCCUGGCCAAGAUGUCCACCCUAGGAACACCCAGGUCCCCGGUGAAUCUGGUACUGCUAGCAAUGACACUUCCUUGACUCUGCCUCUGGUAGUGGAGUGGAGGAGGGGAGGGAGGGCAGGGGUUUGCCUCCUCCUCCUCCUCCAUCCCUAUGUCCUUUUCCUUGUCUGAACCCAAGGCUGCCAGAUUAAAUGGAACUUCUGAGUCCUCCAGGCACAGCUCUUCCCUUUCCCCUCAACCUUGUGCCCUUCCUCACUGGUACUCCCAGACUCUUGUCCUUGGAUCAGGCUCUGCUCUGAUGGGACCUAUCCAACAGCUUUGCAGCCACUGUCAGGACCAGAGCCCUGGUCAGCAGGUCAAACCCUGGGUGCUGAAAAGAAGCAAGUCUGGGACCAGAGCUAAGGACCAGUAUCCCAGAACCUGGACUCGAGUCCU